GUAACUCGACAAGGAAAAGCCAACUGUGGCUUGCUUCUAAGCAACUUCAUGCAACAACUGCAGAGACUGACCCCACCCCGCAGAUAACACAGGGCAAAGAACAGGCACACAUCCCCCGCCUUGCUGCGGGUUAUGGCCCUAUGUAUUUUAUUCCUGUGAGUGUUUCGGUCUGGGGAGUUCCAGCAGGCAGAGGCUAUGACUCACUGCUCCCUCCAGUUCUGGGAAAAUUCCAGCUGUCAGAGGCACCAUAAGGACUGUUGACAUCAGUGACCAGGGAAAUUCCAGCAGAGGAUGCCUCUUUGGUGGGAGCAGAGAACUUUUUGGACGCGCCAGAAGGAAAAGGAGGGCCAGGUCUCUGAAGAACAAAGGCCAGGAACGAGUGCAGCCCAAACUGAUUCAGAGCUUUCAUGUCAAGGAGCUCCUGAUAUUCCAGAAAAGAAAAGAUCUGGGUGGAGACAAGAGCAGA